GAAGUAUAUACCUGUUGCACUUUACUUUGCAUUUUGUAUUUCACGUGAUGUGCAUUGUUAUUGUUGACAGGCAUAUCCUGGCAACGAUCCCCCACGCCCCCGGAUGACAGCCUGGUGAGCGGGCUUCCGAUCAUGUGACCGCAUUGGAGUCCGGAUGCAGGGAUCCCGGAAGCUGCCCGGCGGCGCGGCGAGGACGGCCGGAGAGGCGCCAGACCGCCGAGAAGGUGAUGGAAACCGGAGGAAAAUUUGCCCCCGUGGACGGUGAAGCUGCUGGCAAAUGACCACUAUGUCUGGACCUGCAAAAGCAUAUCCUGGCAACGAUCCCCCACGCCCCCGGAUGACAGCCAGGUGAGCGGGCUUCCGAUCAUGUGACCGCAUUGGAGUCCGGAUGCCGGGAUCCCGGAAGCUGCCCGGCGGCGCGGCGAAGACGGCCGGAGAGGCGCCAGACCGCCGAGAAGGUGAUGGAAACCGGAGGAAAAUUUGCCCCCGUGGACGGUGAAGCUGCUGGCAAAUGACCACUAUGUCUGGACCUGCAAAAUACACAUGGUUUUGCCCAACUGCUAACAAAGUUCCUGCUGCGAUCAACUCAGAAUUACCCCCAACAUCUGGACGGAUAUGAGAAGAGGAGAAUAUUAAGGAAGAAAAACUGCCUUAAAGAUAUCUCCUACAA